UGGGGAAUCUUAGACAAUGGGGGAAACCCUGAUCUAGCCAUGCCGCGUGUGUGAUGAAGGCCCUAGGGUUGUAAAGCACUUUCAACGGUGCAGAUAAUGACGGUAACCGUAGAAGAAGCCCCGGCUAACUUCGUGCCAGCAGCCGCGGUAAUACGAAGGGGGCUAGCGUUGUUCGGAAUUACUGGGCGUAAAGCGCGCGUAGGCGGAUUGAUCAGUCAGGGGUGAAAUCCCGGGGCUCAACCCCGGAACUGCCUUUGAUACUGUCAAUCUAGAGGUCGAGAGAGGUGAGUGGAAUUCCGAGUGUAGAGGUGAAAUUCGUAGAUAUUCGGAGGAACACCAGUGGCGAAGGCGGCUCACUGGCUCGAUUCUGACGCUGAGGUGCGAAAGCGUGGGGAGCAAACAGGAUUAGAUACCCGUGUAGUCC
rnacentral:rRNA from 1 species